rnacentral:lncRNA from 1 species
GUGAAGUCAAUGCAGUAACCUGCCUGUUGUUUUUUUUCUUUUUUUUUCUUUUUACAUAGAAGAAUGAAUAUUCCAAGGAAAAAAUGAAAUGACUGCACAUCUAAUUAAACUGAAGUCACUGCAGUACCUGCACAUAGUGCUUGUGGGGGUUUGUUGAAAACAUUGUCAGCAAAUGAACCAAUUCAUCAAAAGCACAUCCAUCCAGGUAUUUAUCGCCAAGGCUUCUGAGUUCCUGUCACACCUUCCAUUUUAAGAUUUGGGCAACCAGAGACCGUGGCAUCACCAAGUCAGCCUCUACUAGUGAGUUUCAUAUGGAGAUCCAGCUGCAAAUUAAACCUACCCUGCCUUAAUAGAACCUGUGGACAGGGGGAUUGCUGAAAAUACUACAUGCCCUCCCUUGAGCUCAAUACUCCUGGAAUGCAGCCAACUCCACUGGCACAGGUUUUGGGGGCUGAUCCCCCUUCACAAUUCUUCUCUUCGUAUCUAUUAAAGAGGAAGAUGGAGCAGACCUUCAGGUCAGCCAAAGAUACAGAGAUUUUUGGUGAGCUUUCUUCCAACUAUAGAAAAUGA